rnacentral:rRNA from 1 species
AUUGAACGCUGGCGGCAGGCCUAACACAUGCAAGUCGAGCGGAUGAAGGGAGCUUGCUCCUGUCUUCAGCGGCGGACGGGUGAGUAAUGCCUACGAAUCUGCCUGGUCUUGGGGGCUAACGUCCGUAAACGGGCGCUAAUACCGCAUACGUCCUGAGUGUGAAAGUGGGGGUUCUUCGGACCUCACGCUAUCAGAUGAGCCUUGGUCGGAUUAGCUAGUUGGUGGGGUAAAGGCCUACCAAGGCGACGAUCCGUAACUGGUCUGAGAGGAUGAUCAGUCACACUGGAACUGAGACACGGUCCAGACUCCUACGGGAGGCAGCAGUGGGGAAUAUUGGACAAUGGGCGAAAGCCUGAUCCAGCCAUGCCGCGUGUGUGAAGAAGGUCUUCGGAUUGUAAAGCACUUUAAGUUGGGAGGAAGGGCAGUAAGUUAAUACCUUGCUGUUUUGACGUUACCAACAGAAUAAGCACCGGCUAACUUCGUG